CCGCCGCCGCCUCCGUCAUCCACUCGCCGCAGCAGGCGGCCCUCGCCAAGCCCAAGCUCUGGUCGCUGGCCGAGAUCGCCACCUCGGCGGACAGGGCGAGGGAGGCGGGCGGCGAAACGGCGGCCCCCGGCCCCGCCGUGCUGGGAGGCGGCGGCCCCCCGCGCCCCUCUCCGCCGCGGCCCCGCUCGCCGUCCGCGCAGUGCCCCUUCCCCAACGGGGCGGUCCUGCCGCGGCCGCUCUACUACACGGCGCCCUUCUACCCCGGCUACACGAACUACGGCUCCUUCGGGGCCCUGCACGGGCACCCCGCCGGCGGGCCCGCCGCGCCCGGCGCCGCCUUCAAUGGAUUAAACCAGACUGUGCUGAGCCGGGCCGAGGGGCUGGGGAAGGAGCCCAAGGCGGCCAGGAGCCAGCCCCAGGCAGAGCUCGGCAAGGACUCGCCGUACGAACUGAAGAAAGAAAAAGAGCGUUAAUCUGCCCCAUCUCGGGGCCCGAGGAUCGGAGCGGAGGAGACAUUCACUGCAAGCACCUCUUCUUCAUAAAGAAAGCUUUUGCUCCGCAAUAAAGUGAGAGACUUUGAUCCCAGAUCAUCCUCUUAGGCCUUCCAGCUGAAAUCAGCAGAGAAACUAUGUGGAGUUAUUGUUCGCACUUGCUGCACUUCUGAUUCAGAAAGGGCUGAUUUAUUAGCUUGUCAAGGGAAGCAUUGUUCAGGAAGGCAAUCAAAAAGCACUUACCUAGCUAAACUAAAAUUACUGCCUUUUCAGUGGCUAAUUUGUAUAACUCCCAUGGAGGAACUUGGGAAGUGUUUGAUGAGGCAUAAAAUGAUGAUUAAUGAAUUUAUUGGCCUGCUGCUCAUCAAAUAGGAGUAGUAUAUCUUUCCUCUAUUGGGCGUUGGGGCUAAUGCUACAUGGCUGUGUAAAGCAAGUCCAAUAUGAUCUCCUUUUUAGCCCCCUUUUAACCCCUGUGACCUGAAGAAUAUCUCCGUGUAACAGAGGCAACAUCAGGGGAGCACAGAGACAAAGAGCCCAUUUGAUACGACGGAAAAUGAGAAACGCGAGGAAAGUCGCUGCGGGGACAGAUCCGCUCAGUUUUCGGCUUUCAAUCACUUUGACUACUCAAGUGGGAAGAAUGCAGAAACGAGAUAAGGUGCGAGAAGAGAAAAUGACAAACCAAUUUUAACUUUCAGAAAGGAGCCAGCCAACAACUUCGUUGCUCCUGAGGCGGAGCAGGAGUGUGGGCAGUGCUGUGGCUCCGAGCCGUUGUGCCCAGCCCAGCCAGUCAGGCACGGCACAGCUGUCCUGAGCCCGUGAAUGUCCUUCCUCCUCUGCUGGAACAGCCUGAGUCCUCCUCUGAGCAGCGGUUAAUGCUUCCAUCGCUAUUCUGGGGCUGUGGCUUGGAGAGAAACAACUUCCUUUCCCCCUUUAAAGGCUUGCUCUAAAUCAUGUGUGACGCAGUGCCCACCUGUACGCACAGGACCAACACGAUACCUUAUGCACUGCACAUUGUUGCUUUGAGCAGGGUAAGACCCCCAGCAGAUCAAAAACAUUGCAGACAAUCUCAAAAUCUUGUUAAAAUGCAUUUGCCUGAGAUUUGGAGCCAGAGAUCUUCCUGGGACAGAACCGAUUUAGCUCUCAGCUUCCACAGGCCCCUCCCUUGCUGCUCCAACACAAGGGCAGGGCCUGGGGGGGCUGCAGCCUCACAUCUCCAAGUGAAGGUGUGCGUGUCUCGGCUGGACCUGCUGCCAAGGAGGCAGCUUCUCCCAUUCAGUCCCAGAACUAGGAGAAAAUCUCUCAUCUACUUCAAGAACACAUAUUCUCUGUGAAAACCAAAUCUUGCUGUCCCAUGCUAGGUAACAUUGUCAUUUUGAAUGCUCUUGCUUGCCAAACGUGAGGUAUAUAAUGAAUCAGAAUGGUUAAUUUUCCAGAUCUGUUAAGAAAUUGUCAGAGGAGAAAAUUCCUGAGCAAUCUUUCCAUUGCAGAGGCUGUGUGAACAAAUCACAAAACUGCCCUGAGCCGACAUGUUGCCUUCUCUGACUACAGGAAUGCAGCACCCACCUCAUGUCCAGAAGAUCAGAAAACAUUUAUUUUAAUGUUAACGAAUGACUAUUUGGCCGGGACCCCUCUAGGCAAAAUGAUCCCCUAGAAAACAAUGUUUAUAAACAUCCCCAAGCAAACAGCCCUCUCCUGACACCAGCCUACCACCAAGGCGCUGCUCAGCAAGUUUUAUCUGCAAGUCCUUGACCUGUGACUGCUUUUACAAAGGCUCUCUGUUCAUUAGCGAUUUCAGGUCACUUUGAGUACUUGUGUCAUGAGUGCACAGCACAGCUGUAAAAUACACGUAUUAAGUACCAGCUGCAUUAAUACAGGGGCUUAUUUUCCUCCGCUUGGCUCCCAAAAGCAACAUGAUCUUACAUGUCGAUGAAAAAAGACAUAGCUAUAUUUGCAUAAUUACGGCAAUAUUGUAGGUCGUUAGUGCAACGGACCUAAGAG
ensembl:lncRNA